CGCUAGUAAUCGCAGAUCAGAAUGCUGCGGUGAAUACGUUCCCGGGUCUUGUACACACCGCCCGUCACACCAUGGGAGUCGGAAAUGCCCGAAGCCGGUGACCCAACCAAAAGGAGGGAGCCGUCGAAGGCAGGUCUGAUAACUGGGGUGAAGUCGUAACAAGGUAGC
rnacentral:rRNA from 1 species